GAUGAACGCUGGCGGCGUGCCUAAUACAUGCAAGUCGAGCGAACCCUUCGGGGUUAGCGGCGGACGGGUGAGUAACACGUGGGUAACCUGCCUGUAAGACUGGGAUAACUUCGGGAAACCGUAGCUAAUACCGGAUACUUUUUUGGUUCGCAUGAACUGAAAUGGAAAGAUGGCUUUUGCUAUCACUUACAGAUGGACCCGCGGCGCAUUAGCUAGUUGGUGAGGUAAUGGCCCACCAAGGCGACGAUGCGUAGCCGACCUGAGAGGGUGAUCGGCCACACUGGGACUGAGACACGGCCCAGACUCCUACGGGAGGCAGCAGUAGGGAAUCUUCGGCAAUGGGCGAAAGCCUGACCGAGCAACGCCGCGUGAGCGAUGAAGGCCUUCGGGUCGUAAAGCUCUGUUGUUAGGGAAGAACAAGUACCAGUUGAAUAAGCUGGUACCUUGACGGUACCUAACGAGAAAGCCACGGCUAACUACGUG
rnacentral:rRNA from 1 species